rnacentral:rRNA from 1 species
CACACGUGCUGUGUGAGCUGGGUGGGGUCGCAGAGGCUAGGGGGAAGCGACUGUUUAUCAAAAACACAGGUCCGUGCGAAGUCGUAAGACGAUGUAUACGGACUGACUCCUGCCCGGUGCUGGAAGGUUAAGAGGACCUGUUAGACCCUUGGGUCGAAGCGGAGAAUUUAAGCCCCAGUAAACGGCGGUGGUAACUAUAACCAUCCUAAGGUAGCGAAAUUCCUUGUCGGGUAAGUUCCGACCUGCACGAAUGGAGUAACGACUUCCCUACUGUCUCAACCAUGAACUCGGCGAAAUUGCAGUACGAGUAAAGAUGCUCGUUUCGCGCAGCAGGACGGAAAGACCCCGAGACCUUUACUAUAGUUUGGUAUUGGUGUUCGGUGUGGCUUGUGUAGGAUAGGUGGGAGACUGUGAAGCUAUCACGCUAGUGGUGGUGGAGUCGUUGUUGAAAUACCACUCUGGUCACUCUGGACAUCUAACUUCGGCCCGUGAUCCGGGUCAGGGACAGUGCCUGAUGGGUAGUUUAACUGGGGCGGUUGCCUCCUAAAGAGUAACGGAGGCGCCCAAAGGUUCCCUCAGCCUGGUCGGCAAUCAGGUGUUGAGUGUAAGUGCACAAGGGAGCUUGACUGUGAGAGUGACAGCUCGAGCAGGGACGAAAGUCGGGACUAGUGAUCCGGCGGUACAUUGUGGAAUGGCCGUCGCUCAACGGAUAAAAGGUACCUCGGGGAUAACAGGCUGAUCUUGCCCAAGAGUCCAUAUCGACGGCAUGGUUUGGCACCUCGAUGUCGGCUCGUCGCAUCCUGGGGCUGGAGUUGGUCCCAAGGGUUGGGCUGUUCGCCCAUUAAAGCGGUACGCGAGCUGGGUUCAGAACGUCGUGAGACAGUUCGGUCCCUAUCCGCUGCGUGCGUUGGAAAUUUGUGGAGGCCUGUCCUUAGUACGAGAGGACCGGGACGGACGAACCUCUGGUAUGUCAGUUGUUCCGCCAGGAGCAUCGCUGAUUAGCUACGUUCGGGAUUGAUAACCGCUGAAAGCAUCUAAGCGGGAAGCUUGCUCCGAGAUGAGAUUUCCU